rnacentral:rRNA from 1 species
CUGGCUCAGGAUGAACGCUAGCUACAGGCUAACACAUGCAAGUCGAGGGGUAGCAGGGUAGCAAUACCGCUGACGACCGGCGCACGGGUGAGUAACACGUAUCCAACCUUCCCAUAACUCAGGGAUAGCCUUUCGAAAGAAAGAUUAAUACCUGAUAGUACUUUUUCAAGGCAUCUUGAGAAAGUUAAAGAUUUAUUGGUUAUGGAUGGGGAUGCGUUCCAUUAGAUAGUUGGUGAGGUAACGGCUCACCAAGUCUUCGAUGGAUAGGGGUUCUGAGAGGAAGGUCCCCCACAUUGGUACUGAGACACGGACCAAACUCCUACGGGAGGCAGCAGUGAGGAAUAUUGGUCAAUGGGCGAGAGCCUGAACCAGCCAAGUAGCGUGAAGGAAUGAAGGUCCUAUGGAUUGUAAACUUCUUUUAUAGUAGAAUAAAGUGAUCCACGUGUGGAUUUUUGUAUGUAUACUAUGAAUAAGGAUCGGCUAACUCCGUGCCAGCCGCCGC